CAGCAGCCGCGGUAAACGUAGGAUCCGAGCGUUAUCCGAAUUCACUGGGCGUAAAGCGCGAGUAGGCGGUUCGGUAAGUUGGAUGUGAAAGCUCCCGGCUCAACUGGGAGAGGACGUUCAAAACUGUUGGACUAGAGGGCGGAAGAGGGAAGUGGAAUUCCCGGU
rnacentral:rRNA from 1 species